rnacentral:rRNA from 1 species
AUUGAACGCUGGCGGCAGGCCUAACACAUGCAAGUCGAACGAGUGGCGGACGGGUGAGUAAUGUCUGGGCAACUGCCCGAUGGAGGGGGAUAACUACUGGAAACGGUAGCUAAUACCGCAUACCAUCGGAUGUGCCCCGAUGGGAUUAGCUUGUAGGUGAGGUAACGGGUCACCUAGGCGACGAUCCCUAGCUGGUCUGAGAGGAUGACCAGCAACACUGGAACUGAGACAAGGUCCAGACGCCGACGGGAGGCAGCAGUGGGGAAUAUGGAACAAGGGGCGCAAGCCUGAUGCAGCCAUGCGGCGUGUAUGAAGAAGGCCUUCGGGUUGUAAAGGACGUUCAGAGGGGAGGCGUUACCCGCAGAAGAAGCACCGGCUAACUCCGGGCCAGCAGCCGCGGUAAUUC